GAUGAACGCUGGCGGCGUGCUUAACACAUGCAAGUCGAACGGAAAGGCCCAAGCUUGCUUGGGUACUCGAGUGGCGAACGGGUGAGUAACACGUGGGUGAUCUGCCCUGCACUUCGGGAUAAGCCUGGGAAACUGGGUCUAAUACCGGAUAGGACCACAUUUUGGAUGGUGUGGUGGAAAGUUUUUCGGUGUGGGAUGAGCUCGCGGCCUAUCAGCUUGUUGGUGGGGUAAUGGCCUACCAAGGCGUCGACGGGUAGCCGGCCUGAGAGGGUGUACGGCCACAUUGGGACUGAGAUACGGCCCAGACGCCUACGGGAGGCAGCAGUGGGGAAUAUUGCACAAGGGGCGCAAGCCGGAUGCAGCGACGCCGCGUGGGGGAGGACGGCCUUCGGGUUGUAAACGCCUUUCGCUAGGGACGAAGCGUUAUGUGACGGUACCUGGAGAAGAAGCACCGGCUAACUACGUG
rnacentral:rRNA from 1 species